UACGUAGGGGGCAAGCGUUGUCCGGAUUUAUUGGGCGUAAAGAGCGUGUAGGCGGCCAGACAGGUCUGCUGUGAAAACUCGAGGCUCAACCUCGAGACGCCGGUGGAAACCGUCUGGCUAGAGUCCGGAAGAGGAGAGUGGAAUUCCUGGUGUAGCGGUGAAAUGCGCAGAUAUCAGGAGGAACACCGGUGGCGAAGGCGGGUCUCUGGGCAGUAACUGACGCUGAGGAGCGAAAGCUUGGGGAGCGAACAGG
rnacentral:rRNA from 1 species